UGUAGUGACACGGGGUGCCGCAAGGCUGAGAUGAGACCCGUCGAACCUGAUCUAGUUAGAACUAGCGAAGGGAUGUCGCCGAUGACUAUU
rfam:Arthrobacter sp. Edens01 contig_18, whole genome shotgun sequence.